GACGAACGCUGGCGGCGUGCCUAAUACAUGCAAGUCGAACGAACUCUGGUAUUGAUUGGUGCUUGCAUCAUGAUUUACAUUUGAGUGAGUGGCGAACUGGUGAGUAACACGUGGGAAACCUGCCCAGAAGCGGGGGAUAACACCUGGAAACAGAUGCUAAUACCGCAUAACAACUUGGACCGCAUGGUCCGAGUUUGAAAGAUGGCUUCGGCUAUCACUUUUGGAUGGUCCCGCGGCGUAUUAGCUAGAUGGUGGGGUAACGGCUCACCAUGGCAAUGAUACGUAGCCGACCUGAGAGGGUAAUCGGCCACAUUGGGACUGAGACACGGCCCAAACUCCUACGGGAGGCAGCAGUAGGGAAUCUUCCACAAUGGACGAAAGUCUGAUGGAGCAACGCCGCGUGAGUGAAGAAGGGUUUCGGCUCGUAAAACUCUGUUGUUAAAGAAGAACAUAUCUGAGAGUAACUGUUCAGGUAUUGACGGUAUUUAACCAGAAAGCCACGGCUAACUACGUGCCAGCAGCCGCGGUAAUACGUAGGUGGCAAGCGUUGUCCGGAUUUAUUGGGCGUAAAGCGAGCGCAGGCGGUUUUUUAAGUCUGAUGUGAAAGCCUUCGGCUCAACCGAAGAAGUGCAUCGGAAACUGGGAAACUUGAGUGCAGAAGAGGACAGUGGAACUCCAUGUGUAGCGGUGAAAUGCGUAGAUAUAUGGAAGAACACCAGUGGCGAAGGCGGCUGUCUGGUCUGUAACUGACGCUGAGGCUCGAAAGUAUGGGUAGCAAACAGGAUUAGAUACCCUGGUAGUCCAUACUGUAAACGAUGAAUGCUAAGUGUUGGAGGGUUUCCGCCCUUCAGUGCUGCAGCUAACGCAUUAAGCAUUCCGCCUGGGGAGUACGGCCGCAAGGCUGAAACUCAAAGGAAUUGACGGGGGCCCGCACAAGCGGUGGAGCAUGUGGUUUAAUUCGAAGCUACGCGAAGAACCUUACCAGGUCUUGACAUACUAUGCAAAUCUAAGAGAUUAGACGUUCCCUUCGGGGACAUGGAUACAGGUGGUGCAUGGUUGUCGUCAGCUCGUGUCGUGAGAUGUUGGGUUAAGUCCCGCAACGAGCGCAACCCUUAUUAUCAGUUGCCAGCAUUAAGUUGGGCACUCUGGUGAGACUGCCGGUGACAAACCGGAGGAAGGUGGGGAUGACGUCAAAUCAUCAUGCCCCUUAUGACCUGGGCUACACACGUGCUACAAUGGAUGGUACAACGAGUUGCGAACUCGCGAGAGUAAGCUAAUCUCUUAAAGCCAUUCUCAGUUCGGAUUGUAGGCUGCAACUCGCCUACAUGAAGUCGGAAUCGCUAGUAAUCGCGGAUCAGCAUGCCGCGGUGAAUACGUUCCCGGGCCUUGUACACACCGCCCGUCACACCAUGAGAGUUUGUAACACCCAAAGUCGGUGGGGUAACCUUUUAGGAACCAGCCGCCUAAGGUGGGACAGAUGAUUAGGGUG
rnacentral:rRNA from 1 species